AGGAAUUUGAAAAAGAGAAAGACCAAUCGACGAAACAUUUCGACGAGCAUUCAAAUUUCGUCGACGAUGAUUGGCUGGGUAAGGUAUUGAACCCUGUGUGUUAUACGCGAGGCCCGCCAGCUGACAAUUGGUGUACGAACGGAAACGGCGCAAGCAAAUCUUUACAGCGUGCGCUUGUUUGCGGCAUUUGGAAACCAACACGAUCGGAGAAGCCAGGCGAACAUGGAACCGGCAAACGUUUGUCGCAAAAGGUCACAAUUAUUUCAGCAGUGGAUAUUAUUUCCUCAAUUUGUUACAUGACCUCAUUACGCUUGUGGCGCGAGUUUUGGAAAAUAUGGUGAAUCUUCGUACAACAAUCAUGCGAGCAGGAGCGCUAGCUAGCACCUGAAGGUUAUGAUGUGCUGUGAAAGAUGCGGGAGUUUGCAGCCGGCUUCCUGAACAGCAGGAUUGUGCUUUUGGCGCGGGAUUUACACGACCAACAGGCGCAUAGUUGACACAGGAAGAGGAAUAGUCGGUACCAUCCCUACAGCUAAGGUAAGCUUAACUCCGGCAUCUGGUACCCGUGCUCCCCAUGUCCCCUUCUCUUCUCUAGCAUUGUUCUGCUAGUCUUCCAUUGGUUCAUUUGCUUCUACAUUUUGUGAUGAUCAAAACUGGCUUUAUAUUCUGACACCUCUUAUGAAUUAACUGUGAUUCAGAAAGCUAUUUCAACGUACUGAGUUUACAAUCCGAUCUUAUUAAACGACACGCGUUAAUGAUAAACAUAAAACACUACUAAAUCGUGAU